rnacentral:ncRNA from 1 species
AGGGCCAGAAGAGGAGCGUUAACCAGGUAAUUAUUUUGAGGAGAUCAAACUCCGGUGAUAAAUAAUGAGGGGGAUUAACGCCGAGAUAGCGCUAUUUUUGAUGAUAGCGAUAUCGGUUGACCGGGUUGAAUCCCGCCGACUGUCACCUGUUAGGUGGAGAGCUUCUGGCCUU